rnacentral:sRNA from 1 species
CUCGACUCUUGGACGACAUCUCCCGCCUCCGCUUGUC